rnacentral:lncRNA from 1 species
ACUUAUUUAAGCUCUGAAAACUGGUUGAAAUAUUGCACUGACUUAGAGAUGACAGGAGUAGCUCCUCCCAAUCAACUGUAGCACAGUCAGACUGCAAUCUCUGGCUCAUGUGUAAAUAGUCACCAUUUUGGUAGGUGGUCUAUUUCUAGUGCUCUUACUAUUUUAUUUCAAAACAUGGAAACAGUAAAGCUAACUGAUUCUUUCUACCACCUCUUUCUGUGUGUCAGGUUACAUUACCCUUUUCAAGUGUCAAUGUUUCUUCUUUUCUCUCUCACAGAAAAUGUAUUAAUAGACCUCUGGGCUGAUGAUUGCUUUUGGUACUGGAAAAUGCUGUAUGAGGCUUCUCAGCUGUUUCAGAUCUUGAUCAGGAACAAAAUUAGACAUUAAAAGUCUGACUGACUGACUGACUGGCAAGUCCAGAGGGGCAGAAAGUGAACGCCUUGGUCACAGAACACACUGAUUACCAAUGUUAGAGGCAAAUAAGGGAGAGAUUCAAUAUGCUCCUGAGAUGCAUGCCAUGUUUUGGAGGGUAUAAGUGAUGGAACAGUUUUGUACAGCCUGUGCAACUCACUGAAGUCCUGCAAAAAUAUGCCCUUUUAGUGCAAUUAGAUUAACACAUUUAUGGUGAUGAUUAUAAGGUAAAGAAAGCUUUUAUUCUGUAAAAUUGCACAAAAGUAAGAUGUCCAAUUGUUACUGGUAAAUUUACAAGAGUGCUAUUUUUAAUAAACAUUUUUUUUUUUUUUUUUAAAUGAGCA